rnacentral:rRNA from 1 species
GGUUUCCGUAGGUGAACCUGCGGAAGGAUCAUUAGUGAAUAUAGGACGUCCAACUUAACUUGGAGUCCGAACUCUCACUUUCUAACCCUGUGCACUUGUUUGGGAUAGUAACUCUCGCAAGAGAGCGAACUCCUAUUCACUUAUAAACACAAAGUCUAUGAAUGUAUUAAAUUUUAUAACAAAAUAAAACUUUCAACAACGGAUCUCUUGGCUCUCGCAUCGAUGAAGAACGCAGCGAAAUGCGAUAAGUAAUGUGAAUUGCAGAAUUCAGUGAAUCAUCGAAUCUUUGAACGCACCUUGCGCUCCAUGGUGUUCCGUGGAGCAUGCCUGUUUGAGUGUCAUGAAUACUUCAACCCUCCUCUUUCUUAAUGAUUGAAGAGGUGUUUGGUUUCUGAGCGCUGCUGGCCUUUACGGUCUAGCUCGUUCGUAAUGCAUUAGCAUCCGCAAUCGAACUUCGGAUUGACUUGGCGUAAUAGACUAUUCGCUGAGGAAUUCUAGUCUUCGGACUAGAGCCGGGUUGGGUUAAAGGAAGCUUCUAAUCAGAAUGUCUACAUUUUAAGAUUAGAUCUCAAAUCAGGUAGGACUACCCGCUGAACUUAAGCAUAUCAA